rnacentral:rRNA from 1 species
UACGGGGGAUGCAAGCGUUAUCCGGAUUUAUUGGGUUUAAAGGGUGCGUAGGCUGUGAGGUAAGUCAGCGGUGAAAUGCCCCCGCUCAACGGGGUGAAGUGCCAUUGAUACUGCCUUGCUGGAAUGCGGAUGCCGUGGGAGGAAUGUGUGGUGUAGCGGUGAAAUGCAUAGAUAUCACACAGAACACCGAUUGCGAAGGCAUCUCACGAAUCCGCGAUUGACGCUGAUGCACGAAAGCGUGGGCAUCAAACAGG